UAGAUGCUAGUCUCUGAGAUUAAGCCAUGCAUGUUUAUGUAACAAGGACGAACAGCUCAGUAAAACUGCGAUGAUUCAGUCUGUCCGUGCACGAUAACCACGUGAAAAUGUGGCUAAGAGAGGACAGAACAAGACGCAGAACUAUCAGUUAGUUGGUAGUGUAAUGGACUACCAAGACGAUGACGGUUAACGGGGAAUCAGGGUUCUAUACC
rnacentral:rRNA from 1 species